rnacentral:rRNA from 1 species
GUGGGGAAUAUUGGACAAUGGGCGCAAGCCUGAUCCAGCCAUGCCGCGUGAGUGAUGAAGGCCCUAGGGUUGUAAAGCUCUUUCACCGGUGAAGAUAAUGACGGUAACCGGAGAAGAAGCCCCGGCUAACUUCGUGCCAGCAGCCGCGGUAAUACGAAGGGGGCUAGCGUUGUUCGGAAUUACUGGGCGUAAAGCGCACGUAGGCGGGUAUUUAAGUCAGGGGUGAAAUCCCGGAGCUCAACUCCGGAACUGCCUUUGAUACUGGGUACCUAGAGUAUGGAAGAGGUAAGUGGAAUUCCGAGUGUAGAGGUGAAAUUCGUAGAUAGUCGGAGGAACACCAGUGGCGAAGGCGGCUUACUGGUCCAUUACUGACGCUGAGGUGCGAAAGCGUGGGGAGCAAACAGGAUUAGAUACCCUAGUAGUCC